CCCUUCUCCUUUAAAGUUUAAACAAUUAAUUAACACAGCUCCAAAACACGAAAACAACACAGCACAGCCCACUUGCAUAUAAACCUUAGCAUUUUGGGACCCCCUGCAGGUCUUUCAUCAUUGCCCUAACGUGUCAGCCCCUUACUUUGCAUGGCAUCUCGAAUUCUCUCUUUAUAAACACCUUCACCGAUUCUCUGCAAACCACCUAGCUCUUCCUAAUUUUCUCUCCAGGUUCUGUUUUUCCUUGACCAGUUAUUGUUUUUUACCAUUGCUGCUAGUUUGAUCAUUUCCAGGAAAGGUCAACUCUCCGAUGGAGACCCAUAAGCCCUAUUUUCUGUCCGCUAUUUUCGUACUUGUGAUGCUGUCUUUUCUACAUGAACAAAGUAGCCAGGCCGCUCGGUUAAACCCGGUUGAAGCGGGAAUUCUUAUGCCAACAGAGAAAGAUGGACCGGAAGUUGAUGAUGAUGAUGGUAAGGAAAUUGGCACGAGAUGGGCAGUUCUUGUGGCCGGUUCAAAUGGUUAUGGAAAUUACAGGCAUCAGGCGGAUGUCUGCCAUGCGUAUCAACUACUAAGAAAAGGUGGGAUAAAGGAAGAGAACAUAGUAGUGUUUAUGUAUGAUGAUAUAGCUAAGCAUGAGUUCAACCCAAGACCUGGAGUUAUCAUCAACCAUCCUCAAGGAGAUGAUGUUUAUGCCGGUGUGCCUAAGGAUUACACCGGCGUACAGGUCACCACUGAGAAUCUGUAUGCAGUACUUCUUGGUAACAAGAGUGCUGUCAAAGGUGGAAGUGGCAAGGUUGUGGAUAGCAUGCCCAAUGACAGGAUCUUCUUGUACUAUUCUGAUCACGGAGGUCCUGGAGUUCUUGGGAUGCCAACUAUGCCUUUUCUAUAUGCAAUGGAUUUCAUUGAGGUUUUAAAGAAGAAACAUGCAUCUGGGAGUUACAAAGAAAUGGUCAUGUAUAUAGAAGCUUGUGAGAGUGGGAGCAUCUUCGAAGGGAUCAUGCCCAAGGACAUAAACAUUUACGUGACAACAGCAUCAAAUGCGGAAGAGAAUAGCUGGGGAACUUAUUGUCCUGGGAUGGAGCCAGCUCCACCUCCAGAGUAUUUCACUUGCUUAGGGGACUUGUACAGUGUUUCUUGGAUGGAAGAUAGUGGAAAACACAAUCUCAGAAGAGAAACAAUAGAGCAACAAUAUCAUUCGGUGAAGGAGAGGACUUCCAAUUACAAUACGUUCACUUCCGGAUCCCAUGUGAUGCAAUAUGGGAACAAAAGCAUCAAAGGAGAGAAGCUUUAUUUGUACCAAGGUUUCAAUCCUGCUAGUGUAAACUUCCCUCCAAACAAUGUCCACAUUGGUGGGCGUAUGGAUGUUGUUAACCAGAGAGACGCAGAGCUUGUUUUCCUCUGGCAAAUGUACAAAAGAUCCGAGGAUGGUUCAGAAAAGAAGACACAAAUCCUCAAUCAGAUUAAAGAGACUAUGAGGCAUAGAACUCAGUUGGACAGCAGCAUGGAAUUGAUUGGAACACUAUUAUUUGGACAUAAAAAAGGUUCCGCCAUACUUAAAUCUGUUAGGGAACCCGGUUCUCCCCUAGUAGAUGACUGGACAUGCUUAAAAUCGAUGGUUCGACGGUUUGAAACACACUGUGGAUCAUUGACGCAGUAUGGCAUGAAACACAUGCGAGCAUUUGCUAACAUUUGCAAUGGUGGUGUCUCUCAAGCCUCCAUGGAGGAAGCUUGUAUCGCGGCAUGUAGCGGCCACGAAUUCGGGGACUUGCGUCCUUCAGACCAAGGUUACAGUGCUUGAAGUACUGUAGAAGGAGCUCGAGCAUGUUAGAUUAAAUAUGUUACUGCGCAUAGCACUUGAGGUCCCUAGCGGAUGUUCAGUAGACCGUGGGAUUAGUCGUGGUGCGUGCAAACUGGGGUGUUCUAAGUUGGUAGUAUUUGUUACUACAGGUCAUACAAAUUUCCAACUCAUCUACGUAUGUGGCUGGUGUGCCUUGUUUCCCAUAAAACUGUACUCGAGAUCUGUAUCCGGACUCGUCUUUGAGAUUAUUUUUCUAAGCCAUAUACACUCCGUUAGUUGUAA